UCUCGAUAACGUAAAAGUUAGGUCAUAUUUGUAUGGGAUGGGAUCGUUCGCCUACGUUUGCCGCUAGGGGCGCUGUUCCAACCGCAUACAAAAUUGGGUUAACUUUUACGCUAUCGA
rnacentral:pre_miRNA from 9 species